rnacentral:rRNA from 1 species
AUACUGUGAGCUCGAUGAGUAGGGCGGGACACGUGGUAUCCUGUCUGAAUAUGGGGGGACCAUCCUCCAAGGCUAAAUACUCCUGACUGACCGAUAGUGAACCAGUACCGUGAGGGAAAGGCGAAAAGAACCCCGGCGAGGGGAGUGAAAAAGAACCUGAAACCGUGUACGUACAAGCAGUGGGAGCCUCUUUUAUGGGGUGACUGCGUACCUUUUGUAUAAUGGGUCAGCGACUUAUAUUCUGUAGCAAGGUUAACCGAAUAGGGGAGCCGAAGGGAAACCGAGUCUUAACUGGGCGUUAAGUUGCAGGGUAUAGACCCGAAACCCGGUGAUCUAGCCAUGGGCAGGUUGAAGGUUGGGUAACACUAACUGGAGGACCGAACCGACUAAUGUUGAAAAAUUAGCGGAUGACUUGUGGCUGGGGGUGAAAGGCCAAUCAAACCGGGAGAUAGCUGGUUCUCCCCGAAAGCUAUUUAGGUAGCGCCUCGUGAAUUCAUCUCCGGGGGUAGAGCACUGUUUCGGCAAGGGGGUCAUCCCGACUUACCAACCCGAUGCAAACUGCGAAUACCGGAGAAUGUUAUCACGGGAGACACACGGCGGGUGCUAACGUCCGUCGUGAAGAGGGAAACAACCCAGACCGCCAGCUAAGGUCCCAAAGUCAUGGUUAAGUGGGAAACGAUGUGGGAAGGCCCAGACAGCCAGGAUGUUGGCUUAGAAGCAGCCAUCAUUUAAAGAAAGCGUAAUAGCUCACUGGUCGAGUCGGCCUGCGCGGAAGAUGUAACGGGGCUAAACCAUGCACCGAAGCUGCGGCAGCGACGCUUAUGCGUUGUUGGGUAGGGGAGCGUUCUGUAAGCCUGUGAAGGUGUGCUGUGAGGCAUGCUGGAGGUAUCAGAAGUGCGAAUGCUGACAUAAGUAACGAUAAAGCGGGUGAAAAGCCCGCUCGCCGGAAGACCAAGGGUUCCUGUCCAACGUUAAUCGGGGCAGGGUGAGUCGACCCCUAAGGCGAGGCCGAAAGGCGUAGUCGAUGGGAAACAGGUUAAUAUUCCUGUACUUGGUGUUACUGCGAAGGGGGGACGGAGAAGGCUAUGUUGGCCGGGCGACGGUUGUCCCGGUUUAAGCGUGUAGGCUGGUUUUCCAGGCAAAUCCGGAAAAUCAAGGCUGAGGCGUGAUGACGAGGCACUACGGUGCUGAAGCAACAAAUGCCCUGCUUCCAGGAAAAGCCUCUAAGCAUCAGGUAACAUCAAAUCGUACCCCAAACCGACACAGGUGGUCAGGUAGAGAAUACCAAGGCGCUUGAGAGAACUCGGGUGAAGGAACUAGGCAAAAUGGUGCCGUAACUUCGGGAGAAGGCACGCUGAUAUGUAGGUGAAGUCCCUUGCGGAUGGAGCUGAAAUCAGUCGAAGAUACCAGCUGGCUGCAACUGUUUAUUAAAAACACAGCACUGUGCAAACACGAAAGUGGACGUAUACGGUGUGACGCCUGCCCGGUGCCGGAAGGUUAAUUGAUGGGGUUAGCGGUAACGCGAAGCUCUUGAUCGAAGCCCCGGUAAACGGCGGCCGUAACUAUAACGGUCCUAAGGUAGCGAAAUUCCUUGUCGGGUAAGUUCCGACCUGCACGAAUGGCGUAAUGAUGGCCAGGCUGUCUCCACCCGAGACUCAGUGAAAUUGAACUCGCUGUGAAGAUGCAGUGUACCCGCGGCAAGACGGAAAGACCCCGUGAACCUUUACUAUAGCUUGACACUGAACAUUGAGCCUUGAUGUGUAGGAUAGGUGGGAGGCUUUGAAGUGUGGACGCCAGUCUGCAUGGAGCCGACCUUGAAAUACCACCCUUUAAUGUUUGAUGUUCUAACGUUGGCCCCUGAUCGGGGUUGCGGACAGUGUCUGGUGGGUAGUUUGACUGGGGCGGUCUCCUCCUAAAGAGUAACGGAGGAGCACGAAGGUUGGCUAAUCCUGGUCGGACAUCAGGAGGUUAGUGCAAUGGCAUAAGCCAGCUUGACUGCGAGCGUGACGGCGCGAGCAGGUGCGAAAGCAGGUCAUAGUGAUCCGGUGGUUCUGAAUGGAAGGGCCAUCGCUCAACGGAUAAAAGGUACUCCGGGGAUAACAGGCUGAUACCGCCCAAGAGUUCAUAUCGACGGCGGUGUUUGGCACCUCGAUGUCGGCUCAUCACAUCCUGGGGCUGAAGUAGGUCCCAAGGGUAUGGCUGUUCGCCAUUUAAAGUGGUACGCGAGCUGGGUUUAGAACGUCGUGAGACAGUUCGGUCCCUAUCUGCCGUGGGCGCUGGAGAACUGAGGGGGGCUGCUCCUAGUACGAGAGGACCGGAGUGGACGCAUCACUGGUGUUCGGGUUGUCAUGCCAAUGGCACUGCCCGGUAGCUAAAUGCGGAAGAGAUAAGUGCUGAAAGCAUCUAAGCACGAAACUUGCCCCGAGAUGAGUUCUCCCUGACUCCUUGAGAGUCCUGAAGGAACGUUGAAGACGACGACGUUGAUAGGCCGGGUGUGUAAGCGCAGCGAUGCGUUGAGCUAACCGGUACUAAUGAACCGUGAGGCUUAACCUU